rnacentral:rRNA from 1 species
UAGGGAAUCUUCCGCAAUGGGCGAAAGCCUGACGGAGCAACGCCGCGUGAGUGAUGAAGGUCUUCGGAUCGUAAAACUCUGUUAUUAGGGAAGAACAAAUGUGUAAGUAACUAUGCACGUCUUGACGGUACCUAAUCAGAAAGCCACGGCUAACUACGUGCCAGCAGCCGCGGUAAUACGUAGGUGGCAAGCGUUAUCCGGAAUUAUUGGGCGUAAAGCGCGCGUAGGCGGUUUUUUAAGUCUGAUGUGAAAGCCCACGGCUCAACCGUGGAGGGUCAUUGGAAACUGGAAAACUUGAGUAGAGAAGAGGAAAGUGGAAUUCCAUGUGUAGCGGUGAAAUGCGCAGAGAUAUGGAGGAACACCAGUGGCGUAGGCGACUUUCUGGUCUGUAACUGACGCAGAUGUGCGAAAGCGUGGGGAUCAAACAGG